GGAGAGGUCGCAUAGCCCGGUCCAGUGCGGCGGUUUGCUAAACCGCUGUACGGGGUAAUUCCCGUACCGAGGGUUCGAAUCCCUCCCUCUCCG
rnacentral:tRNA from 1 species